CGGCGUCUUGCCCCCAACGCGCACUUUUCGUACCGACUGCGAACGCGGGUCAACUUUAUUUCAAAACUAAACAACUUCGGUCUUAAAGAUUACUUCGAAUACCGUAAUAUCUUGGUCUGAAAAGUUUUAAAGUUUCAUUUGGAAGUGGAAUCGAAGCCAGGAACACCACGAACACACUGGCAUUAUUAUUUCUUUCGGCUCCGUCUUCGGGAGUUCGAGUAUUCCACGAAGGACUAUAUAAAGGCUCUAUAUAACCUCGUUCCGGAAAAUCUUUCUCUUCGAUUCCUAGAAUGCCUCAUUAAUGGCAGUCCAGAAAUCUACAAGAAGGAUCAUCUACACUCGCUUGAAACUAGAGUAUGAAAUCGAUAGUAAAUCCGAAGCCGUCUUGAAACUUUUUUGUGACUAUUCCGUGAUGAAAAAAUAUGAAGUGAAGGAAUGCUUGGAAAGAGAAGGCGGAAGACAACAUACAAUAUUUAAAUCGUCUUUAUUAUUUUAAUUAGGAAAGUCUCAACAAUCGACCGGGAGAUGAGGAAUUCUAGCAAUAUGUCGAACUGCUAAAUUUUGUUUGAUUAAUGGACAAACCAUUGACGCAUCUCUCUCACGGAAUUAUGCAAAUUUCUCGGUGUUUUGACGAUAAUUGGAAUGCCGUAAUUAUUUUUGAAAAAUAAAUGAAUA